AUUGAACGCUGGCGGCAGGCCUAACACAUGCAAGUCGAGCGAGCGGCGGACGGGUGAGUAAUGUAUGGGGACUGCCCGAUAGAGGGGGAUAACUACUGGAAACGGUGGCUAAUACCGCAUACUGUCGGAUAACCCAUAUGGGAUUAGCUAGUAGGUAAGGUAAUGGCUUACCUAGGCGACGAUCCCUAGCUGGUCUGAGAGGAUGAUCAGCCACACUGAGACUGGGAAGCGGACCAGAAUCUGACGGUGGCAGAAGUGGUGAAGAUUGCACGGUGGGCGCAAGCCUGAUGCAGCAAUGCCGCGUGUAUGAAGAAGGCCCGAGGGUUGUAAAGUACUGUCAGUCGGGGGGCGUUACCGACAGAAGAAGCACCGGCUAACUCCGUGCCAGCAGCCGCGGUAAUUC
rnacentral:rRNA from 1 species